rnacentral:rRNA from 1 species
UACAGAGGGUGCAAGCGUUAAUCGGAUUUACUGGGCGUAAAGCGCGCGUAGGUGGCCAAUUAAGUCAAAUGUGAAAUCCCCGAGCUUAACUUGGGAAUUGCAUUCGAUACUGGUUGGCUAGAGUAUGGGAGAGGAUGGUAGAAUUCCAGGUGUAGCGGUGAAAUGCGUAGAGAUCUGGAGGAAUACCGAUGGCGAAGGCAGCCAUCUGGCCUAAUACUGACGGUCAGGGACGAAAGCUGGGGGAGCAAACCGG